rnacentral:ncRNA from 2 species
AUUCGUCUUCAGGGGCAGGGUGUAAUUCCCGACCGGUGGUAUAGUCCACGAACUAGAUAGCAUUUCUAGUUGAACUGGUUUAAUUCCAGUACCGACAGUAAAGUCUGGAUAAAGAAGAUGGGG